UUAAAAUGGCAUAGAGAUCUUUUAAAAAAUACCAACAUCAGACCCAUGGAAUGUGAGGCGAUGUCUGGGCAUCUGCAUUUUAAAAAGCAUCCCAAGUGACCCCGACGCAAGGGAAGGUACCAACAGGAAGCAACCCUUGGGAGAAGAAAUCACAGCUGGGAACAAUUAAGACUGAUUAGUUUGUGGCAGAGAAACUCAAAAUGGAAAGAAACUUCUCUUCGGGGAAAUUAGGAGCUGCAUUCCCAAGCAUUUCUGAAUUGAGUGCAAUUCUCAGAGGAAUGUAGGACUGUGGAAAAAUGUGAAUUUCAAAUAUUUGGAGGUUUUCUCAGCUUAUUUAAUGUCUGUAUAACCACUAUGUGUUGAUUCUAUUGGCUGUUUUGCAAGAAAAAAAAAAGUUCAAGUAAAUAAGUUUUUUUCA